AACUCUAAAUGCUCUAAAAACUAGCUCCUUGGAUAAUGCUUCCCUUCACCUUUGAAGCAGCUGUAAGCAGUUUUACGUCAGAGCUGAAAGCAAUUUAGCUUCAUCAAUGAGAUCUUGUGCCUACAGCAAACAAGUUCUGCUGAGAGUUUUUUCUGGAUGGAGCACGACAUUAACCAGCUCCUGUGGCCUGGAAACAUACAACCUUUGCCAGCCCUACUGAC
rnacentral:lncRNA from 1 species